rnacentral:rRNA from 1 species
UACGGAGGGUGCGAGCGUUGUCCGGAUUUAUUGGGUUUAAAGGGUGCGUAGGUGGCUAAUUAAGUCAGUGGUGAAAUACGGUUGCUCAACAAUCGAGGUGCCAUUGAUACUGAUUAGCUUGAAAUAAUUGGAGGCUGCCGGAAUGGAUGGUGUAGCGGUGAAAUGCAUAGAUAUCAUCCAGAACACCGAUUGCGAAGGCAGGUGGCUACGAUUUGUUUGACACUGAGGCACGAAAGCAUGGGGAGCAAACAGG